rnacentral:rRNA from 1 species
UACAGAGGUCUCAAGCGUUGUUCGGAUUCAUUGGGCGUAAAGGGUGUGUAGGUGGCGCCGUAAGUCGGGUGUGAAAUCUCGGGGCUUAACUCCGAAACUGCAUUCGAUACUGCGGUGCUUGAGGACUGGAGAGGAGACUGGAAUUCAUGGUGUAGCAGUGAAAUGCGUAGAGAUCAUGAGGAAGACCAGUGGCGAAGGCGGCUCACUGGCCCGGAACUGACGCUGAGACGCGAAAGCGUGGGGAGCAAACAGG